AAAUUAUGAUGUGGGCACGGAAUUAGAUAAACUUUGAAUCUUUUCCAAGCAUCAUAAAAAGAUUUUUCUUCUUUCUGAGUGAAAUUACAAAUUUUAGACCUAUAAUCU
rfam:Ricinus communis cultivar Hale ctg_1100012356861, whole genome shotgun sequence.